CCUUGAGGGAGAGGGACUGAGAAUACCUGGAGUAUGAGGAAUGAGCCAGAGGGCAAGAGAAUCCCUGCUGUGAGGGUCCGCUACUCAGCAGAGAUCACAUGACCAUCUGCAAGCCCAGCUUUGUGCCCCUUCACAGUUCCUGAUUCCUGAUGGUACCAGCAACAGAAGGACUGAAGCUUCUGCAGCGCCAUGGUGGGUGUCAACUGUUGCUGUCCCAGAUACAUGAGAACAUUAAUGUCAAGAUGCUGGGAGCAGGACACCUGUAGAAAAAAAAUACUUGGU